UGAGGAAUACAUCGGAAUCUACCUUUUCGUGGGGGAUAACGUAGGGAAACUUACGCUAAUACCGCAUACGACCUUCGGGUGAAAGCAGGGGACCUUCGGGCCUUGCGCGGAUAGAUGAGCCGAUGUCGGAUUAGCUAGUUGGCGGGGUAAAGGCCCACCAAGGCGACGAUCCGUAGCUGGUCUGAGAGGAUGAUCAGCCACACUGGAACUGAGACACGGUCCAGACUCCUACGGGAGGCAGCAGUGGGGAAUAUUGGACAAUGGGCGCAAGCCUGAUCCAGCCAUACCGCGUGGGUGAAGAAGGCCUUCGGGUUGUAAAGCCCUUUUGUUGGGAAAGAAAAGCAGUCGAUUAAUACUCGGUUGUUCUGACGGUACCCAAAGAAUAAGCACCGGCUAACUUCGUGCCAGCAGCCGC
rnacentral:rRNA from 1 species